UUGACUCGUAAUUCUCUAAAGCCCAUCAGCCCAGCUAGACCCCAAAUUCUCGUUCCUGCCUCCGUCCUGGCGUCCCCUGCCGCCACCGUUGCCAUCCUCCGCCGCCGCUGCUCCCCUUCCAUAUUCUUCCCCCGCCCUGCUCUUUGCUCCUCUCCCUCUCGAUGGUCGCCGGACGAGGUCCUCCUGCCGCCGACCGUCCCGACCACAUCGACGUCGCCCUCCUCCAUCCUACCCUCUUCCCCCGGCGAAUAGUGCCACCGCCGUCCGCCCGCUCCGCCCAGCCCUCUAGCUCCGGCGGUGGCCCGCCGGCGGCCCGCUUCAAGAUCCUUCCCAACUGCCUAGGGAGUAAAAUAGCGAUUAGGCUGUGGAGAGAUGGCUGAUUGGUUGAUAGCUUCGGUCUUGUAUUCAGUUACAGAUCAAGAGAUCGUGGACAUCAGACGGAACUUAGAAAGAACUAUCAAGGUGGAAGUUAUCCUAUAGAUGCUGUAUCCAUGCCUGUUUGAAAUGUCUCCCGUAACCUUCGUCAGCUGCGUUCCCAACGUCCUCAUUUGCUCACUGCACCCUCGCAUUGUGCUCACCUAGCCAUGGUGAACCUGAAUUUGGUGAAUCGAAGUGCCUACCUAAAGCCUCACAUGAUGCCACAUCUACUGUCGCUCCAUACAAGGAUGCCAUUUGCUUCGUUCUAAGGCUUGGGAGGUGAAAGUGUUCCCGGGUUAAAGACCGGCAGUGACAACAACCAGGAAGGACAUGGGAGCAACAUGGAGUUGAGAAAGACAUUGUUGAGAAGGAGAAGAAUAUCUUUGUCGAGUCCAUCCAAUCCUCCUGAAGUCGUGAUCCUUCUUAAAUACCUCAAUUUCUCCAGAAAUCUCGGAAUGGAUCUGAUGUUACUCCCGCAUGGCCGCACGUGAGGCAACUGUUCAAUUGUUGGCUUACUAUUAUCCUAUGACAUGCCUCCAUUAAGCAAAGAUUGCACAUGUGAGUAUCUUUUUAGAGUAAAAAUGCAUCAGAGGUCCUAAUACUUAUCCAAAGAUGCCAAGUUAGUCUCAAUUCUUACAAUCUGCAUAUCUGGGUCCUAAAAAUAUUUAAGUUGUUCACAACAAGUUCAUUGAAAAGUUCUCUCUUCUAAUUUUUUUACCUGCGUUAAUGGAAAAGUUAUAUGACUAUGCAGCUUCUCCUUGCAUAUGAGUGAUACAAUUCAGUGUUGAAGUGUCGAGACUUUCAUUAUCUUGCAUACUAACUAUGGAAUGGAGAAGUUGAUGUAUGUUCCAUUUACAUAAUUCCUUGCUUAAUUUAUUUGGGAUAGUCCUGUUCUUCUCUUAUAAGUUUAUUAAUCUGCUGGUGUCAUUUUGCUUCAUGUGUUAGUUCAUCAGGAUUAUAGUUGAUAGAUUAUGUUCAAUGUAAUAUAACAAUCAGUACUUCAGGAAAAUAUGAUGCAAGACUUCAUUCUUUCUUUUUCUUUUUUUAGAGAUCAUAUUAUCAUCUUUGAUUACAUAAUUAUUGUUUUGUGUUGUGCUUUGUCGCUACGAAGGAAACAUAUUUUUGUCAUAUAUAUAACCAUAACCUCCCCUUGAACAGUGAAACACUUUGUCGCAGUUACAAAUCAUGUUCACUUGCAGUCCCGAACCAAUCUUCUUACACAGUUACUACCUGAUUAAAUAUAUAGAAAGGGAAAUAUGCUACUAUACGAAAAUAAUAGAGGACAGAUCACAGAUGUCACCUGGAAGUCACCAGGUUCUAUUUUUUACUUCGUUGCUUCCUGUCAACGGUCUGGUGUUCUGUUUCAGCACGCUUCAGUUUCUUUUGGGACUGUAAUUGGUAAAUUAUGUCACACUAGAAUAUAAUAAUUAGUACUUCAAGAAAAAUACUCCCUCUUUUUCAUAAUAUAUGAUGUAUUAGGUUUCGUUAAGACAAAGCUUUAGCAAAGAAUUAUUUUGUUAAUAUGUAGUUUUUAUGACGUCAAAUUGGUAUCACUAGAUUCGUCUGGAAACCUACUGAUAAUUAUGAUUAUGUAUCAUAUAAAUCAUAUAUAAAUGAAGUAAUUCUUGGUCAAAAGCUUUGUAUUAAUGAAGCCAAAUAGGCCAUGUAUUAUGAAAAGGAGGGAUUAGAAGGUAAGACUUAUUGCUUUCCUUUUUCUUUCUCCAGGGUUCAUGUAGUCAUCUUUAGUUACAUACUUGUAGCCAUAUAGGUCAAGAAAAAUAACAGCAUUCGUUUUUGUUCUACUUAGAUGUUUAAUAAAGUUUUACAUAUUUUCUAAUUUAUGCUAGACAAUCAACAUGGGUCAUUCUUAGGAGAUUUUGUUUUACCAACUCAACAAUAUUAUUAUGGGAAAACAUCCUAGAUGUUUGCAUUGCAGAUGAAGAUGGCAGAGGAAACCAUUAAGAUGGUCACGAGCACACACAAUGUGCCCUAAGUUGCUUAUAUGAUUAGAUCCACAAAUUUGUCAUUUUUGCACAGAAUAAAGUAUGUAUUGACGAAAAUUUACAGGUAUGUAGCAUUACAUACUUACAGCGUAGAAAAAAAAUCAUAUUUUCUGAAACUUUUAAAUAUGAUUUUAAUUCUCCUUAAAAUAUCAGGCUCGCGGGAUCUGGGAGCCAAAUGUCCACAUUCUGAAAAGAGUCUCCUGUGAUCACUUCCUUCACAACUAGGUUACCGAACAUGUAUAAAAAUUGGUACAGUAUGUACGACAAGUCUAGAUAGCUAAUCGAAUAUAUAAACAAACUAGGGUCCAACUUCACGAUUUUGAAUCAUAAAAGUGUGGUUUAUUUUUCUUGGUUGCAGGAAAAAAAACUAGAGAAGUUUAAUUGAUAUCCUUUGUAGGCAGAGAAUUAUUGCUUCUACCGGUCAGAGAAGAAAGGUGCAUAUUUCAUUCUUCCGAAUUGGAGUUAGCGCCUAUUCCACUGCUUCUGAUAUGUUAUUCUUUUCCUCUUAAUUUUACUUUGAUCUUUCUUAUUUGUUACUACAAGACAAAACAUGAUAUUUGUUUUUGAUCUAUAUGAUGGCAGUUCAGUAAUUGUUUAAAAAAA